rnacentral:rRNA from 1 species
AUUGAACGCUGGCGGAAUGCUUUACACAUGCAAGUCGAGCGGCAGCACGGGGGCAACCCUGGUGGCGAGCGGCGAACGGGUGAGUAAUACAUCGGAACAUGCCCAGUCGUGGGGGAUAACACUUCGAAAGACGUGCUAAUACCGCAUACGUCCUGAGGGAGAAAGCGGGGGAUCUUCGGACCUCGCGCGAUUGGAGUGGCCGAUGUCAGAGUAGCUAGUUGUUGGGGUAGAGGCCUACCAAGGCAACGAUCUGUAGCUGGUCUGAGGGGAUGAUCAGCCACACGGGGAAUGAGACACGGCCCAGACUCCUACGGGAGGCAGCAGUGGGGAAUUUUGGACAAUGGGUGCAACCCUGAUCCAGCCAUUCCGCGUGAGUGAAGAAGGCCUUCGGGUUGUAAAGCUCUUUCGGCAGGAACGAAACGGCGAGCUCUAACAUAGCUUGCUAAUGACGGUACCUGAAGAAGAAGCACCGGCUAACUACGUGCCAGCCGCCGCAGUAACAC